rnacentral:rRNA from 1 species
AUGGGAACCAUGGAGGAGAAGCCGGCCCUUGGCUUGGGGAGCCUCGUGAGCAGCCUGCGAGUGGUGUACAAGAGCGGCAGGACCAGGGAGCUGUCCUGGAGGCGGUCGCAGCUCAAGGGGCUCAUCAGGCUCCUGACGGAGAAGGAGGAGGAGAUCUUCGACGCGCUCCACGACGACCUCGGCAAGCACCGGACUGAAUCCUUCAGAGACGAGGUCGGUGUUGUCGUCAAGUCCAUCAAGCACACGCUGCAAAACCUCGAGAAAUGGGCGGCUCCUGAGAAGGCUCCUACACCGUUGGUUUCCUUUCCGGCGACGGCGUUAGUGCUGCCGGAGCCGCUCGGGGUCGUGCUGAUUUUCUCCUGCUGGAAUGUUCCAUUAGCCUUAGCUCUGGAGCCGCUCUCCGGCGCCUUAGCGGCUGGCAACGCCGUGGUUGUGAAACCCUCGGAGCUGGCGCCGUCCACCGCGGCAUUUCUCGCUGCCAACAUACCGAGAUACCUGGACGCCGAGGCUGUGAAGGUCGUCCUGGGUGCAGCGGAAGUUGGACAAGAGCUAAUGGAGCACCGAUGGGAUAAGGUCCUCUUCACCGGGGGUGCCCGUGUAGGUCGCAUUAUCAUGACAAAAGCUGCAAAGCACCUGACCCCAGUGGCGCUUGAGCUUGGCUCGAAAUGCCCGUGCAUUGUAGAUUGGCUGGACAGCAAAAGAGACAGUCAGAUUGCUGUAAAUCGCAUAAUAGGCGCGAAAUGGUCCACUUGCGCCGGUCAAGCUUGCAUAGCCAUCGAUUACAUACUUGUGGAGGAACAGUUUGCGCCGAUUCUGAUUGAGCUGCUGAAAUCAACAGUCGAGAGACUCAUCACGAAACCAGAGGACAUGGCGCGCAUUCUGAACGAGAGACAGUUCAAUAGGUUAAGUGGCCUCCUGGAGGAUCACAAGGUGAGCCGUUCCAUUGUACAUGGUGGAAACGUGGACCCAAAGACCUUGAGCAUCGAGCCCACCAUCCUGCUGAAUCCACCGCUCGACUCUGAUGUCAUGACAGAGGAGAUUUUUGGCCCGCUCCUCCCGAUCAUCACGGUGAAGAAGAUCGAGGACAGCAUCGAGUUCGUGAGCUCCAGGCCCAAACCGCUCGCGAUCUACGCAUUCAGCACGAGCGAGCCGCUGAAGCAGCGGAUCGUCAAGGAAACGUCGUCCGGGAGCGUCACCUUCAACGACGCGAUCGUGCAGUACGGGCUGGAGAGCAUCCCGUUCGGCGGCGUCGGGCAGAGCGGGUUCGGGCAGUACCACGGCAAGUACUCCUUCGAGAUGUUCAGCCACAAGAAGGCGGUGUUCAGGCGAAGCUUCCUGGUCGAGUUCAUGUUCAGGUACCCGCCGUGGAACGACGACAGCAAGCUCGGGAUGCUGCGGCACGUCUUCCGCUAUGACUACGUGUCGCUAUUCCUCGCGCUGCUCGGCCUGAGGAGGUGA